CCUACGGGAGGCAGCAGCAGGGAAUCUUGGGCAAUGGGCGAAAGCCUGACCCAGCGACGCCGCGUGGAGGAAGAAGUCCUUCGGGGCGUAAACUCCUGGACUGGGGGACGAGGAAGGACGGUACCCCAGUAGAAAGGGACGGCUAACUACGUGCCAGCAGCCGCGGUAAAACGUAGGUCCCGAGCGUUGUUCGGAUUCACUGGGUGUAAAGGGCGCGUAGGUGGUUGUCUGUGUCUCAUGUGAAAACUCAGGGCUCAACUCUGAGAUUGCGUGGGAAACUAGGCAGCUAGAGGACGGUAGAGGGGAGUGGAAUUCCCGGUGUAGCGGUAAAAUGCGUAGAUAUCGGGAGGAACACCGGUGGCGAAGGCGGCUCUCUGGGCCGAUCCUGACGCUGAGGCGCGAAAGCUAGGGGAGCGAACCGGAUUAGAUACCCGGGUAGUCCUAGCCGUAAACGAUGGGUGCUAGGUGUUGGGGGGUAAAGACCCUUCAGUGCCGAAGCCAACGCGAUAAGC
rnacentral:rRNA from 1 species